rnacentral:rRNA from 1 species
GAUGAACGCUGGCGGCGUGCCUAAUACAUGCAAGUCGAGCGAACAGACGAGGAGCUUGCUCCUCUGACGUUAGCGGCGGACGGGUGAGUAACACGUGGAUAACCUACCUAUAAGACUGGGAUAACUUCGGGAAACCGGAUCUAAUACCGGAUAAUAUAUUGAACCGCAUGGUUCAAUAGUGAAAGACGGUUUUGCUGUCACUUAUAGAUGGAUCCGCGCCGCAUUAGCUAGUUGGUAAGGUAACGGCUUACCAAGGCUACGAUGCGUAGCCGACCUGAGAGGGUGAUCGGCCACACUGGAACUGAGACACGGUCCAGACUCCUACGGGAGGCAGCAGUAGGGAAUCUUCCGCAAUGGGCGAAAGCCUGACGGAGCAACGCCGCGUGAGUGAUGAAGGUCUUCGGAUCGUAAAACUCUGUUAUUAGGGAGGAACGAAUGUGUAAGUAACUAUGCACGUCUUGACGGUACCUAAUCAGAAAGCCACGGCUAACUACGUG